rnacentral:lncRNA from 1 species
AUUUCUGGAAGGCUGUCAUCCAAGGCCAUUUUUGCGCUAUAAGCAGGGUCUCUGGAACCAAAGGGAGCACACAAAUCUUCUUAAAACUGAAGGUGUUUAUGCCCAAGAUGAAACUGAAUUCUAUUUGGGCAAUAAAUGUGCUUACGCACACAAAGCAAAGAACAACAAGUGACUCCUGGCAGCAAACCAAACAAAAUCAGAGUAUUCUAGAGAAAGGUAACUUGGGCCCAAGGAAACAUUGGCAUGGUUUUUGCCAAAUUCCAAAGCGAUCCUUCUGCUAAGGCCAUUGGACAUAGAUGCUGUAACCCCUUAAAGAUUUAA